rnacentral:rRNA from 1 species
GAACUUUCCAGAGAUGGAUUGGUGCCUUCGGGAACUGUGAGACAGGUGCUGCAUGGCUGUCGUCAGCUCGUGUUGUGAAAUGUUGGGUUAAGUCCCGCAACGAGCGCAACCCUUAUCCUUUGUUGCCAGCGGUCCGGCCGGGAACUCAAAGGAGACUGCCAGUGAUAAACUGGAGGAAGGUGGGGAUGACGUCAAGUCAUCAUGGCCCUUACGACCAGGGCUACACACGUGCUACAAUGGCGCAUACAAAGAGAAGCGACCUCGCGAGAGCAAGCGGACCUCAUAAAGUGCGUCGUAGUCCGGAUUGGAGUCUGCAACUCGACUCCAUGAAGUCGGAAUCGCUAGUAAUCGUGGAUCAGAAUGCCACGGUGAAUACGUUCCCGGGCCUUGUACACACCGCCCGUCACACCAUGGGAGUGGGUUGCAAAAGAAGUAGGUAGCUUAACCUUCGGGAGGGCGCUUACCACUUUGUGAUUCAU